GCCCGGAGCAAUUUUGCCAUUUUUGCGCUAUUGUACCCAUGUAAACUAUAUAUUGUUUUUUUCAAGGAGAGAUAGAGCUUUCUUUUGAUACCAUAGUUGGAUGAUUAGCUGAAAA